rnacentral:rRNA from 1 species
CCUACGGGGGGCAGCAGUGAGGAAUAUUGGUCAAUGGACGAGAGUCUGAACCAGCCAAGUAGCGUGAAGGAUGACUGCCCUAUGGGUUGUAAACUUCUUUUAUAUGGGAAUAAAAUGUUCCACGUGUGGGAUUUUGUAUGUACCAUAUGAAUAAGGAUCGGCUAACUCCGUGCCAGCAGCCGCGGUAAUACGGAGGAUCCGAGCGUUAUCCGGCUUUAUUGGGUUUAAAGGGAGCGUAGGUGGAUUGUUAAGUCAGUUGUGAAAGUUUGCGGCGCAACCGUAAAAUUGCAGUUGAAACUGGCAGUCUUGAGUACAGUAGAGGUGGGCGGAAUUCGUGGUGUAGCGGUGAAAUGCUUAGAUAUCACGAAGAACUCCGAUUGCGAAGGCAGUUCACUGGACUGCAACUGACACUGAGGCUCGAAAGUGUGGGUAUCAAACAGGAUUAGAUACCCCGGUAGUC